rnacentral:rRNA from 1 species
UACGGAGGGUGCAAGCGUUAAUCGGAAUUACUGGGCGUAAAGCGUGCGCAGGCGGUUUGUUAAGUCUGUUGUGAAAUCCCCGAGCUCAACUUGGGAAUUGCAAUGGAUACUGGCAGGCUGGAGUAUGGUAGAGGAAGGUGGAAUUCCCGGUGUAGCAGUGAAAUGCGUAGAGAUCGGGAGGAACACCAGUGGCGAAGGCGGCCCCCUGGGCCGCUCCUGACGCUGAGGCGCGAAAGCUAGGGGAGCAAACGGG